GGUGAGCUGAUAGUAGCGGAAGAGGAAGGGACCGGCUAACUCUGUGCCMGCAGCCGCGGUAAUACAGAGGUCCCAAGCGUUGUUCGGAUUCACUGGGCGUAAAGGGUGCGUAGGUGGUGAGGUAAGUCGGAUGUGAAAUCUCCGGGCUCAACCCGGAAAUGGCAUUGGAAACUACCUUGCUGGAGGAUUUGAGGGGGGGAUUGGAAUACUUGGUGUAGCAGUGAAAUGCGUAGAUAUCAAGUGGAACACCAGUGGCGAAGGCGAAUCCCUGGAAAAUACCUGACACUGAGGCACGAAAGCUAGGGGAGCAAACAGGAUUAGAUACCCUGGUAGUCCUAGCCCUAAACGGUGCUUGCUUGCUGUAAGAGGAAUCGACCCCUCUUGUGGCGGAGCUAACGCGUUAAGCAAGCCGCCUGGGGAAGUACGGUCGCAAGAUUAAAACUCAAAGAAAUUGACGGGGGCCUGCACAAGCGGUGGAGUAUGUGGCUUAAUUCGAUGCAACGCGAAGAACCUUACCUGGCCUUGACAUGCACAUAGUAGAAGCCUGAAAGGGUGACGAGGUAGCAAUACCAGUGUGCACAGGUGCUGCAUGGCUGUCGUCAGCUCGUGUCGUGAGAUGUUGGGUUAAGUCCCGCAACGAGCGCAACCCCUGUGUCCUGUUGCCACUCGAACGAGAGUUCGAAGCACUCUGGACAGACUGCCUCAUUUUAAUGAGGAGGAAGGUGGGGAUGACGUCAAGUCAGUAUGGCCCUUACGGCCAGGGCUGCACACGUACUACAAUGCCCGGUACAAAGGGGAGCAAAACUGUAAGGUGGAGCAAAUCCCAGAAAACCGGGCUCAGUUCAGAUUGGAGUCUGCAACUCGACUCCAUGAAGCUGGAAUCGCUAGUAAUGGCGCAUCAGCUACGGCGCCGUGAAUACGUUCCCAGGCCUUGUACACACCGCCCGUCACAUCAUGAAAGCCGUUUGUACCCGAAGUCGCCCCUUAAAAGGUGCCGAAGGUAUGGAUGGUGAUUGGGAUGAAGUCGUAACAAGGUAA
rnacentral:rRNA from 1 species